rnacentral:pre_miRNA from 13 species
AGGAAUUAGUUUUGCAGGUUUGCAUUUCAGCGUAUAUAUAAAGGGGUGGCUGUGCAAAUCCAUGCAAAACUGAUUGUGAU